GGAGGCUCCGCCCCCCCGUCUCUGUGGGCGGCCGGGGGGACGCGGCGGCGGCGGUGGCGGCGGGAGUGGAUCCGGCCGGAAGGGAUCCGACCGGGAGUCAGCGGGGUUGGAUGAGAUAUUGGGAACGAGCUCUUCGCCGUGUGGGCCCUGAGACACUGGAAUGCGUUUCCCAGGGAAGCUGUGGAUGCCCCAUCCUUGGGAGCGUUCAAGUCUGGUUUGGCCGCAGCUCUGAGCAGCCUGGUCCAGUGGAAGGGUAUCCUUGCUCAUGGCAGGGGGUUGGAACUGGGUGAUUUUUAAGGUCCCUUUAGACCCAAGCCUUUCUGUUGAUCAAUGUUCCUGUUGAAAGGCGUUGCUCCGCUUAAUUUGCCUUUCCAGGCUCGGCCUGGCUGUGCCGGGCUGCAGGGAAAGGAUCGGUGCGGUUCGGGGUCGGGGCUGUGUCCGGGUGCGCUGCGGUGGCUCCUGGGCUGGAGGGUGCAGGUUUCUCACCAGCGUUUCGCCUUUUAAAAUGAGUAUUAGAUUUAAGAUCAUUGCUGCAUGUCUGCUAACAGGAGCUGUUGUAAACUUAGCAGAGAAAUGCCCUAAGGUUGCUAAGCUGCAUUUCAUUUUUAAUUUCAACAGGUGGUUUGAGCAGUCAUUUAUGACAUAAUUUUUCUCAUGCAGGACCCUAACUUCUUUCAGAUGGUCGUAAAAUCUGCAGACAUCCCUAGGGCUGGAAUCUGAAUCUGAAUGUCAUUGCUCCCCAGACUUUGGCUAAGAGACUCGAAAUCAUGAAGUGGAUUUUAACUCUUUGUUUUUUGUCUUUUCACAGAUUCACAGACUGUUGGACUAAGCUGGAAGGGAUCCACAAGGAUCCUCGAGUCCGUCUCUUAAGUAAACAUCCCGUAUAGGGAUAGCACCCACCACCUUAGUGUUACUAGCACCAUUUUCUAACCAUCUGCAACUACAGAAAAUUAACAAAUUUAACUACAAAUACCGAUGUGUUCUGUCAAUGAAUCUGGACAUUACAGCAUCCCAGCUGUAUGCUGCUCUGCUUCAGGAUUUUGAAGCCCAAAUUGCCUGAUCUGGCGGAAAUAUUUCUGAUGGAGACAUGUGAGUGCAAGCUCUGCCAUUUCACAAGCAGGAUCAAAAGUAAGAUCAGGAUGCACCUGGUUCAAAUGCGUGAAACUGAUAUGGUGUGUGGAAUUUCAGGCUGCCCUGAAAUGGACCAAGGUAAAAAUGAAUUAUGUAGCAUUGGAGAUGAAAAGAAUGAAAACAAAGAAAAUCUUACAAAAAGUUACUGUCUUGUUGCCUGUGUAUCAGAUACCUUAAAAUAAGAGUCCUUGCUGUUGUGACAUGAGCUCAAGCGUAAUCCUCGUGCAUCUCACUCCUGUGAAAGGAACACCUUGUUUGGAGAAGUAGCAGAUUAUUUUCAAUUUGGGGAACCCUGCAGUGCUGACUUCCGUAUUCCAAGAGAAAGGACAGAGUAGAUCUUAAUGAAAAAUCAUUGAAAAUCACACAUUUGGAUAAAAGAAACCUACCAGUGCUUCAUCUGUGAAAGUGCUUUUAUAUCCCUUUAUAAAGUGCCUGGAAAGUGUGCAGAAACAGCCAUCAGAGGAAACCUCAUCUCAGUGCAUAUCAUCUGAAACUGAGCAGGUCCUGUGACAUACAGACUCUUUAGAGUUAUGGGCUUCAGCUCCAUCACAACAUCCUUACAUGUGUUGGUGGUGUCUUGACUGAACCACACUGGUGUACACUGAAUUGGAGAGUCAGGAUCAAGUAUUCAAAACCAGACAUCAGUUGAGUGGACAUCACAAACAAAUCCAUCAUGAAGAAGCACCAAACCCACAAAUGAAAGAGAGGAAGAGAAGAAGGAAGUCUGAAGAUAAUCCUGUGUGUUUCAACACAAAAGCAACUUGAAAGUAGAAUUCAAGCUAAUUUAAAUGCAGUAUCUACAUACCUACAGUAGGUAUGAUCUGUAUUAUAGCAAAACUUUCUGUUUUGUUUCUUAAUUGCAGAAUAUUUUGUAAUCUGGCAUGUUUAUUUAUUUGCUGAUUUACCUACAUAUUUUUGUAAGAAAGUUGCUCUUAGAUAGCCUGAACAAAAAUAAAAAUAGCUACCUCCUACUUGGUUUGUGAUAGUACCAGUCUUUGGAAUAAGUUAAGUAUGUGCUGGUCAAAAGGUGCAGCUAAGAUUUUCUGCUAUAGUUUGUUACACAGAAUAACAAAGCACAGCCACUGGAAUAGGCUCUUUCAGGAGCCAAAAGAAGUGCUGUGGGACUUCUUGGAAUGUUGCAAGUUAACUAGGUGAAAAAACAGCUUCCUUUGAGUCAUGGCUGCAUUUUUAAGAGGAAUAUUAACUGAAGCAUCAAUUUUAUCAGUUAGUAUAAAAUUGUAUUUAUCUGGACUUGUAAGAGUUAACACCAAGACUUUGCCUGGCCUCAAGUGCAUCCUUUCUUCCAAAGAGAUUUUGACAAGGCAUUUGAUGCGGCUGCCUGUCCAUGAGUUGACGUUACAAAAUACUCUGAUAGCUUUUUUAAUACUUAAGUAGUGAAGCUUGAGUACAUCUCUUUCUCUAGGUUUCUUCUAAGUAUGUGCAUUUGGCUUAGGGUGUUUUCUCUUUUUAGUUGUUGCUCAUGGCUAUACAUGUCUCUUACAUUAUCUGAAAACAUUUUUGCAAUAGUUUAACUAGAGAAAUCACUUUCUUAAUUUCACAGUUGUGUAUCAUAAAUUAAUUCAAAUUGUCAAAGAUUUUUUCCCCAAAGACUUCUUUAUCUCACUGUUUUCUAGGACUUAAAUAGUUGUCUAUACUGAAUCUGGCUUUCCUCAUUUGAAGUUGUUAUUGCUCAUAUGGAAAGAAAUAAAUACAUGUUUUAGUCACUCUCUGAUAUUAGAAUAAUAAAAAGGAUCCAAAAAUGGAAUUUGGGUUCAGUUAGUCAAAGGCCUAGUUGCUUGAAGUGAGCUAGAGCAUUUUUUUGGUAACUUGGGAGCAGAUCGAUGUGCUGAUUAUGUACCUUGCACAUAGGCAUGUGUCUUCUGGCCUUUUUUAAAUCAAGUGGUCAUUUAACAAAGCUCAUCAGUGGCAGAAGUAAAAGGUUAAGCACUUUACAUUGUUACAUCAUUACAGCUGUGACUUGUGAAACAGUGGAGUAUGGCAAUCCAAAUUUUGUCUGAGGUUACAUUUGAAAUGUGACAUACGAUGUAGGCACUACAGCUCUUUUGAAAGAAAAAGGAACUUUUACGGACUGGGUCUCGAGCUCUCCCUGGAGCCGUGGACAUUAAGAAUUUAUUUGAACUUUUCAUACCUACUCAAGCUACUCGAGCUUUGCUUGAUUUUUGUACAGCAAAACAAACUUCAUGUCAACACUGUUCCUUUCCUACAGCCCCCCUGAGGAGCAAACUCAUAAAACUGGCAGGAGCUGUAGUCACUGCCUGCAGCUGUAUUGUAAUUCUUUCCACUAAAGGCCCUGUGUCCCCACAGUAGAACAGGAUCUGUUGGGAAUCACAGCUAGCUCAGUGGUGUGUCCAGCAGCACAGAUGGAACAGCUGAUGGCAGAAGGCGUAAGGAUAACCCUGCUGUGCUGACUGUGACUCUGAGAGUACGGGCUGUCCCCUGCACAGAGCUCCAGAGUGCCAGAGCAAGCUGCCUCAUUUCUUUUCAUCACACAGUUGUCUCUCGUUAUGCCCAGAUUAACAGAUGAACAUGGAAAGUGUGUUUUAGAGUCUAUUGAUACUGUAAAACUUAAAGGAAUUCCUUUAAACGGAGAAAGAUCUGCUUUCAGGAGGUUACCAGCAAAGUGUUGGAAGCGGGACAUGGAAAUCCAGCUGUUUUCCUGUGGCGCUUUGUUUGCUUUCCACCAGGAGGGGGCAGCAGAUGAACAACAUCACACGGGCUGUUUUCUACUUUUCAAACGCUUCCAGUGUCCCUCUCUGCCUGUGAAUCCUAGCAGGGACUCCUUACCGAUGUGAGAGUUUAAAAUUAUGGUUCCUACUUGUUUGCUACAAGGAUAGCUGGAAUGUAUGAAUCAGAAGUCUUCAUUCUGUUCAGUAUUAAGGAAUAGAAUUUAUUUAUUAAAAUCUACCUCAAGUUUUUAAAGAGGGCAGUUCUUUACUGAGACUUAAGAUUUUUAUGACUAUGGCAUUAGGUGUGUAUAUAUUUUAAAGGAUAAAAUAACUAAGCAACCGUAGCCCAUCAGCUCAUUAAUGUUACCUAAGUCUUGCUGAACAUCUUUCAAAUACUUAUUUUUGUAUUUCAAUUUGCAUAUUACAAUUCAAAAUAAUGUUCUCACAGCCAUUUUUCUCCCAUCAGAAAAUAAAACCGAGAAUACACUAAAUCUAGUGAUGCUUUUCAUUCAUGUGUAAUAAAUGUAUUCACAUACAAGGAUGGCUUGUGCAUUCUGUUGGCAGAGCAUGGGAGUUAAAGGCCUCAAUUCACAUGUAGUGCGAGUGGUGUUAAGCAAUAUAACCAAAUUUAAUUGCCUUAUUUCAGGCGCAAAGUGCAGUCUUAUCAUCUGAAAGUUUAUGGAGGUGUACCAUAUUACUGAUUGGGAGUAUAGUAGGGUCUUUUUUAAAACUGUUGGGCAAGUAGUGAUUAUAACCUACCAUUGUGAACUUCUUGAAAGUGUGUG